AUGUUGCCUGAUGUAGUGGAUGACUUUAAAGUCAAGAACCCAUCAUGCCAGGAUCUAGAACCAUUGUUCUACUCCUGCUAUGUUUUCUUCAACAAACUCGGAGGAGGCAUGUCUGUUGGAGUCUCUACUUUGGUAUUAUAUUUUGCAGGAUACAAGCCUGGUGCUUGUAAACACAAUCCAGAGGUCAUAUACUCGCUGCGGGUGCUCUUUGCUCCUGUGCCAAUCUGCCUGCUGCUCAUCAGCUUGGUGGUCUUUUGUUCUAUCCCAUCAAUGAAGAGCGGCGACAGAGUAUCCAAGAGGCAUUAAGGAAAGCAGGGACAGAGACCGGCUUGAAA